GAGAGUUUAGUUUAAAGAAAACAUUAACUUGUCAAGUUAAAAAUAUUAAAUAAUAAUAACCCUCA
rnacentral:tRNA from 1 species